rnacentral:rRNA from 1 species
GCUAUCGGAUUGAUACUAAGCCAUGCGAGUCAUUGUAGUAAUACAAGGCAGACGGCUCAGUAACGCGUAGUCAACCUACCCUAUGGACGGGGAUAACCUCGGGAAACUGAGAAUAAUACCCGAUAGAACAUUAUGCCUGGAAUGGUUUAUGUUUCAAAUAAUUUAUUGCCGUAGGAUGGGACUGCGGCCUAUCAGUUUGUUGGUGAGGUAAUGGCCCACCAAGACUAUUACAGGUACGGGCUCUGAGAGGAGUAGCCCGGAGAUGGGUACUGAGACACGGACCCAGGCCCUAUGGGGCGCAGCAGGCGAGAAAACUUUGCAAUGUGCGAAAGCACGACAAGGUUAAUCCGAGUGGUUUCUGCUAAAGGAACCUUUUGUCAGUCCUAGAAACACUGAUGAAUAAGGGGUGGGCAAGUUCUGGUGUCAGCCGCCGCGGUAAAACCAGCACCUCAAGUGGUCAGGAUGAUUAUUGGGCCUAAAGCAUCCGUAGCCUGCUUUGUAAGUUUUCGGUUAAAUCCAUACGCUCAACGUAUGGGCUGCCGGGAAUACUGCAAAGCUAGGGAGUGGGAGAGGUAGACGGUAGUCCAGGGGUAGGGGUGAAAUCCUAUAAUCCUUGGAGGACCACCAGUGGCGAAGGCGGUCGACUAGAACGUGCCUGACGGUGAGGGACGAAAGCUGGGGGAGCGAACCGGAUUAGAUACCCGGGUAGUCCCAGCUGUAAAC